rnacentral:rRNA from 1 species
GGUGAUCGGCCACAUUGGGACUGAGACACGGCCCAAACUCCUACGGGAGGCAGCAGUGGGAAUAUUGGGCAAUGGAGGAAACUCUGACCCAGCAACGCCGCGUGGAGGAAGAAGGUUUUCGGAUCGUAAACUCCUGUCCUUGGAGACGAGUAGAAGACGGUAUCCAAGGAGGAAGCCCCGGCUAACUACGUGCCAGCAGCCGCGGUAAUACGUAGGGGGCAAGCGUUGUCCGGAAUAAUUGGGCGUAAAGGGCGCGUAGGCGGCUCGGUAAGUCUGGAGUGAAAGUCCUGCUUUUAAGGUGGGAAUUGCUUUGGAUACUGUCGGGCUUGAGUGCAGGAGAGGUUAGUGGAAUUCCCAGUGUAGCGGUGAAAUGCGUAGAGAUUGGGAGGAACACCAGUGGCGAAGGCGACUAACUGGACUGUAACUGACGCUGAGGCGCGAAAGUGUGGGGAGCAAACAGGAUUAGAUACCCUGGUAGUCCACACUGUAAACGAUGAAUGCUAGGUGUAGGGGGUAUCGACCCCUUCUGUGCCGCAGUCAACACAAUAAGCAUUCCGCCUGGGGAGUACGGCCGCAAGGUUGAAACUCAAAGGAAUUGACGGGGGCCCGCACAACAGCGGAGCAUGUGGUUUAAUUCGACGCAACGCGAAGAACCUUACCAGGUCUUGACAUCCACUUAAACUUACAGAGAUGUAAGGUGUGCUUGCACAAAGUGAGACAGGUGGUGCAUGGUUGUCGUCAGCUCGUGUCGUGAGAUGUUGGGUUAAGUCCCGCAACGAGCGCAACCCUUAUCUUCAGUUACUAACGCGUGAGGGUGAGGACUCUGAAGAGACUGCCGGGGACAACUCGGAGGAAGGUGGGGACGACGUCAAAUCAUCAUGCCCCUUAUGACCUGGGCUACACACGUGCUACAAUGGCCACGACAGAGAGAAGCGAAAUCGCAAGGUAGAGCGGAACUCAAAAAAGUGGUCCCAGUUCGGAUUGUGGGCUGCAACCCGCCCACAUGAAGUCGGAGUUGCUAGUAAUCGCGGAUCAGCAUGCCGCGGUGAAUACGUUCCCGGGCCUUGUACACACCGCCCGUCACACCAUGGGAGUUGGGAGUGCCCAAAGCCGGUGAGGCAACCGCAAGGAGCCAGCCGUCUAAGGCAAGACCAAUGACUGGGGUGAAGUCGGAACAAGGUAGCCGUAUCGGAAGGUGCGGCUG